rnacentral:tRNA from 1 species
AUCAAAUUAGAGCUUGAUAGGAAGCAUUUCAUUUACACUGAAAAUUUUACUGUGCAAUUCAGUUAAUUUGAU